rnacentral:rRNA from 1 species
UGGGGAAUAUUGGACAAUGGGCGCAAGCCUGAUCCAGCCAUGCCGCGUGAGUGAUGAAGGCCCUAGGGUUGGAAAGCUCUUUCACCGGUGAAGAUAAUGACGGUAACCGGAGAAGAAGCCCCGGCCAACUUCGUGCCAGCAGCCGCGGUAAGACGAAGGGGGCUAGCGUUGUUCGGAUUUACUGGGCGUAAAGCGCACGUAGGCGGACUAUUAAGUCAGGGGUGAAAUCCCGGGGCUCAACCCCGGAACUGCCUUUGAUACUGGUAGUCUUGAGUUCGGGAGAGGUGAGUGGAAUUCCGAGUGUAGAGGUGAAAUUCGUAGAUAUUCGGAGGAACACCAGUGGCGAAGGCGGCUCACUGGCUCGAUACUGACGCUGAGGUGCGAAAGCGUGGGGAGCAAACAGG